UCAGACAGCAUUCACACACUCCGGUUGGAUUCUGUUUUGACUCAAAGUCUCCUUCCAAUUCCAGUGUCAUCAAUCGGUUUAAGUGUCUGCUGUGAUGGUCCUGCACCAGCUAUGCUUGUUACCACAGCCUCAUGAACACAAAAGGCCCUGCAGCUGCCAUGAACUCACCCGGGAGAACAUGGCCAGGCAUGGCACACAGCAAAGGAGGUGGAAUGUGAGCCCCCUCAGAUCAUGUUUUGCAAAAAUGUUUCAAUGCAGCCUGCUUUUGUGAAGGAUAGUGCUGGACAUAAAGCACUCCGAGAGAGGAAUGCCUUGAGACCCACAGUGAAAAGAGAGGAUCCCAUUCUCCAAUCACUGGCUAGGUCCCCAAGUUCCCAAAGGAAUGGGACAGUAUUCAUAGGCCAUCACCCUCCAGCUGUUCUGGGCCAACAUCUCCACUACACAGCAGAUGAGGUUGAGGAGUAGAGAAAAUGCUUCACCAAUUGAAUUAUGACAGAACUGUGGGGAAGCCACAUGUGAGCCCAGAAUUGAGUCAGGACACUGCAGGUAACAUCCAUACGUUUAAAGACAGCACCGUGAGAUCUUUAAAUGACUUCAGCUGGGCACCCGAACCAAACGGACCUCCUACAGCAGUAUCUCCUGCUUUUACGAUACGAAAUUGUUUUGGAAUUUCUGGGACAGAUGGAAUGGUGCCAGUUACUGCCCUAGCUACGCUACUUACAGCACCUGUAUGGCCACUAAGACAUUGUGUUUGCAGGUAAGUUGAUAAACUAAUAAAAAAAAACAAAGUAGGAUAUGAGAUCUCACUCACUUUACCACAUGAUACCAGGUUGUAUUUGUGUUAUGUUUUACCAGUUAAAGUGGCCCUCUACCUAUAUGC